GACGAACGCUGGCGGCGUGCUUAACACAUGCAAGUCGAACGGAAAGGCCCUGCUUUUGUGGGGUGCUCGAGUGGCGAACGGGUGAGUAACACGUGAGUAACCUGCCCUUGACUUUGGGAUAACUUCAGGAAACUGGGGCUAAUACCGGAUAGGAGCUCCUGCUGCAUGGUGGGGGUUGGAAAGUUUCGGCGGUUGGGGAUGGACUCGCGGCUUAUCAGCUUGUUGGUGGGGUAGUGGCUUACCAAGGCUUUGACGGGUAGCCGGCCUGAGAGGGUGACCGGCGACAAUAGGACUGAGAGACGGCGCAGACGCGAACGGGAGACAACGGUGGGGAGUAUGACACAGUAAGCGGGAGCCAGAUGCAGCAACGCCGGGUGCGGGAAGACGGCCUUCGAGUUGUGAACCGCUUUAGCCUGAGACGAAGCGUGAGUGACGGUAAUGGGUAAAGAAGCACCGGCUAACUACGUG
rnacentral:rRNA from 1 species